rnacentral:rRNA from 1 species
AUUGAACGCUGGCGGAAUGCUUUACACAUGCAAGUCGAACGGCAGCACGGACUUCGGUCUGGUGGCGAGUGGCGAACGGGUGAGUAAUACAUCGGAACGUGCCCAGUCGUGGGGGAUAACGUAGCGAAAGCUACGCUAAUACCGCAUACGAUCUACGGAUGAAAGCGGGGGAUCGCAAGACCUCGCGCGAUUGGAGCGGCCGAUGGCAGAUUAGGUAGUUGGUAGGGUAAAGGCCUACCAAGCCGACGAUCUGUAGCUGGUCUGAGAGGAUGAUCAGCCACACUGGGACUGAGACACGGCCCAGACUCCUACGGGAGGCAGCAGUGGGGAAUUUUGGACAAUGGGGGCAACCCUGAUCCAGCAAUGCCGCGUGAGUGAAGAAGGCCUUCGGGUUGUAAAGCUCUUUUGUCAGGGAAGAAACACCGGCUCUAACACAGUCCGGGAAUGACGGUACCUGAAGAAUAAGCACCGGCUAACUACGUGCCAGCAGCCGCGGUAA